CCCCAUUAUUUUAUUUUAAUUAUUUCAAUUCUCAAUCUCUCAUAUCACUUUCAUCAAUAAAAAAAUGGUAUUAAUUAUCUAUACAACAAGUUCACUUUCAAAAAAAUUUAAAAAAUACAGAUAGAUUAAUAAGGCGCAUGUCUUUUCGAAAAUCAUUAUAAAAUUAGAACCAAAAUUGUAAUUUAUGAUGGAUAUUAUUCUAUAUAAAUUAUAAAUAUGAUGGGAGGGGAUGAGAAUGACACCGACUAUGUUCAUGAAAAAUUGUUUGAAUCACGAGAUUGUAGGGUUUUUGAAUUGAUAUCGUAGUAAGGCAGUGGCUGUAUAACUUAGGAGGUGGUGGUGAUGUGAGUUAUAAGUUUCCACAUGAAAUGCAGAGCUUUUGAAUAUGACUUUCCCAGAAGUUAAGGCGAAUGUGACGAGGGCUAGUUGUGGGGCGAUGCAACUUGCGGUAUGGAUUCUGUUCGUGCUUUCACUUUCUGACUUGUUUGGGUAAAAUUGUGCACGGAUCCCAUUUGUCACGUGUACAUGAUUUUUCCCCUCAUUAAUGUGAAUUUAUAGAAGGGAGAGAUGUCAACAUAAAUGCUUGCCAUAAGGUAAAAUUUUAAGUUGAAUAUCUAGAUUUAGAUACAUAGAUAAAAAAGGUAAAAGAUGUAGUUGAUAUGGUUGAGUAUGAUGUGUUAAUAUUGUAAACUUUAGUACCCAUUUCUGAUUUUUUCAUAUAAAAAAUAGUUAAAAAGAAAAAAACUAGAAUAUCUUUUUUUUUAACAAAUAAAAUCAGUAGAACAAUUUUUAGAAAUUAUCUUCUAAAUAAUCAUUCUAUUUGACAGAGUAAUUUCUUUACUUUGAAUUCUUUUGUACCUUUAUAAAUUGUUUGUUUUUUCAAUCCCUUCUAAGGAGUGGUCAUCUGAAUUCUUUUAUACCUUGAUAAAGAAGUAAAUGAAACCUGUACCCAAAAAAUUUCUUUACUUUAUCUCGCUCAAUAUUAAAAUUCAAGUUGGGCUACUGUAUUGGCGAUGGAACAUAAGUUAUAAAUAAGCAAGCUAAUUACAUUGAAUUAGAUAGGUAGAGAAAAAAAAAAUGAAUAGUAGAUAGCUAUAUCUAGCUGGAUUCGGCUGUAUCGUGACUUUUUUGGGCUUUUCAAAGAUGUAUAGUCCCCUAGUUCCAAGCCAAGUCCAUGACAAUAUUAAAAUUAGUGCAAAGAAAGAAAAAAGACAUGCAAGUUGCAGCAUAAAGAGUAAAUGGGUUUUUAUUUAAUUGAAAUGGAAAGGGAUAUCAAAUCAAAACGAAGCAAAACCAAAGAAAAGAAAUGUCGUGCAGCAUGGGUUGGUUUGUUUGAAUAAUCACCGAUUCGUCGUCGGUUUAUGCAAGUUGGGGAGCAAGUGGGUGAUAAGUUAGCAUUUACACGAGAUAGAUGCUCUUGAUGUCAUCCCGUGCAGCGCAGGGUCUACCCACCCUUUCUUUUGUCCACUUCUGCUUAGGAAAUACUUUUUUUUUCCUUCUAAAAAAUAAAUGCUUGUAAAGUGAAUAAAUAAACAUAUUUUUAAAAUUUUAAUCCAAUAUUGUUCUGGUAACUAGUACCUUGGGGAAAAAAGACUUAGUCUAAAAACAUUCAAGUAUCAAGUGUAAUUUACUUAUCUAUUUUUUUUGGAUUCGACGGGAUAUAUAUAAUAGCAUGUUGUAACGGAUCAAUUUGAUAUUUUUGGUUGAACUUAUCUUAUUAUGGCAUAACUUAGAGGCCAAGGCUUUAGACACUUUAGGUGAGGAGUGGGUGUUUGCAUUGUAGUCCUAAACUAUCGGUCGGAUAUCGACUCCAUACAACUAAAGGACUUUGGUUCAACUGAGAUGAAAUGAUACACAGUUCAACAAUCUUGAGUGCAUAAACACAAAGACUUCAAUCAUGAAGUUUGAUCCCCUUAAUAUGACCGAGUGAUAUGGAAGAAUACUCUGUCGGACAUAUCCUUAUUGUUUGGGCUUGUACCAUAAUUCUCUAGGUAGACUUAUGCCAAUAAUCCUAGUAUGCCAUGGACACCUUGCUAAGUAGGAUUGAGAGUGUCUCUCCAUUUUACCACAUUUAUUUACACACAAAAAAGUUAAGCUCAUCAAAUUAGAAAUAUUUUCUACUUUGACUCUCGUAGUAUUUACAGUUUUGUCUAUAAAAAAUGUCUUAAUGAAUUAAUGAAGAAAAAUGUUUAUAAAUUACUUUCUACUUUGGUUCUCAAAUUCUUAAAUGAUAUAAAACUUUUUUGAUAUAUCAGAAAAAAAACCCCUCAAUUUAGACUAAGUAGUUAGCGCGUUUUGUUGAUAAUAAGAAUUCUGUUAUAAAUUACUUUCUACUUUGGUUCAUUGGAGGCCCUUUACUCAAGUUAAAUCAGUAGAUGGAUAUUUCAUAGAUAUCAUUUUAUCCCCCUAUUGAAGAUAUUUGAGCCAUUAAAUUCUGGAUCGGCGAAAUUUCUAUGUUCAGAAUUUAUGUAUACUUAAACUUUUUCCUUAGUGGAAUAAAAACGAAAACGAUGGAUGAUCGAUGUUGAUAUAUGAGAGAAAAAAAGUGGUAUCUUUGAUUUGUGUACAAUAUAUUUUUAGUAAGUUCUAUGGCAUUAUUCAAUUGAAUUGGCUUUCUUCGAUCUUCAUUUUUCAGGUAACCUUUCUGCUCCUAUUCUAUCUCUCUCUAGUCUCUACAUUAAUUUGAUUUCUGAGGUGCAUUAAUUGUGGCUAAUGGCUCCAUUAUUAUUGUUAAAUUAUUCUGAAAUUGGAAAUUGACCACACAAUAUCAAUAUGGCUGCAGCCUGUGUGUUUCUUCCAUUCUUUUGGGUUACUGACUAUCUGUCACUGUAGCAAUUGCAUGCCUAGUGCCAAGUACAAUAUCAAAUAUUUAUUUAUUUUUAGGUUUUUAAAUAAUUUAACCAUAUGAUAUUAAUAUUAAAUUGAUCAGAUUCGUUGAUGGAACGAUGGUUAUCUCAAAUUGUGUUUCUUAAAGGACGACAGGGG
rnacentral:lncRNA from 1 species